CAGAUGGAGACUUGUUUCCUCUAACUUCUGAAAACUCUGGGGGAAAGGUGCCGGUACUCACCCAUGAAGUUGUUACAAAAACCUGCAUAAGGACUCUAUACGGGCUCUUGGAUACCCGAUAAGGGAUAAAGGAGCAGUUUUUUCUUAUAACAGUUUGGCGAGCCAGCCAGGAGUUUCGGUUGACCGGAUUCUGGGGGCAAGGAAGGACUGGUGGCCCAGUGCGCACCAAGCCUUUGCCAGGAGGAGCUACUAGUCCUCCAGUGAUCCCAGGGUCUGGAAAUAACUGGCGUUCCAGCGAGGUCAACCAGAGGAAGCAACGCUUGAUUGGGCCGGCCUAAAACAACCGGUCAGAGAUCCCAGGAUCACCAGGAACAGCACAUGUGGAACUGAGUAUAACUUGCAUGGGGAAAGGGUAGCAGGCGGGUUCUCUCAACCCACAGCAGCUGAAUAUUCUCCCUGCACUAUCCUUUUCUAGUCUUACUUUUUUUGCGGACUUGGUAUUGGCUUAGCCAAAGGUAUAGAGAGAAAGCCAAGUCUGGAAGGGAAGGGGUCUCCUGCGUUGUAAAUGUCACUUGUGAGAAGAGAACCCUUGGGGCAACAGUCUCCUGCAUUGUAAAAGUCAAUGUUAGAGGAGAGACAACCCCAUGCUUGUUCCUGUCAACCUGACAGCAAGGAAUCUGAGCUCUGUUUUCUCUUGAUGCCAGGUUGGCUCUAACCAUUGGGCCAAUUUUGGUAGCAAAUAUUGCAUUUCUUCUGUUUCCAUUUCCCCUGUCCUAUCCCCCCUUGGACGUAGCCUAAGGACAUCCUUUUCCUAAUUUCCUCUGUACCAUCAUUAGACCUUUCUGCCCUUGGCAUCCAAAUUGCAAGAUGGUCCUUUCUGUAGCAGGAAACAGUUGCUGUGGGCUCCCUGGCUGUUGAAUGUCCAUAUAGAAGGGGAAUAAGGGAAAAAACCCAUGCCGCUGACAGCUUAGUAGCUAGGAGAAAGCUAACAGCUGUGACCACUCAGUAGCUAGUAUACAACGAACAGUUGGUUAUUUGAUUAGCUGGAAGGAUACCGACUGGAAGGACCACUAGGUCCUGAAGUUAUUGUUUCCUAGUUUAGGGGAGUACCUGCCUGCAGUCAAAAGUCCAAUACCAGGUGCCUUAAAGAACCAUUGUUGUUGUUUAGUCGUUUAGUCGUGUCCGACUCUUCGUGACCCCAUGGACCAGAGCACGCCAGGCACUUCUGUCUUCCACUACCUCCCGCAGUUUGGUCAAACUCAUGCUGGUAGCUUCAAGAACACUAUCCAACCAUCUCGUCCUCUGUCGUCCCCUUCUCCUUGUGCCCUCCAUCUUUCCCAACAUCAGGGUCUUUUCCAGGGAGUCUUCUCUUCUCAUGAGGUGGACAAAGUAUUGGAGCCUCAGCUUCAGGAUCUGUCCUUCCAGCGAGCACUC